rnacentral:lncRNA from 1 species
UUAAGUUUAGGGUAGGAUACGUGUUGAUGUGCAUGGAACCAACCUAGUACGUCACAUCAAUGAACAAUCCCAAAUCAUAUUAAUAGUCUAACAUCACCAUCCAAGAGAGAUAGAGGAAAACACUCAAGAAUUUGGUAUGGUGAACAUGGACAAAUUUUCGACCAAAAAAGAUUUUCAGUUUGAAAAGAAAAAUCAAAAUGGCUCACCCAAAUGAGAAUUUUCCCAUUAAUUUUUUGUCAGUAGAGAUUGGAGCUUUUGGCGUCGGUAAUCAACCUAACGAGAUUGAUUUAUUUGUUGGUUGGUUU